AAACGAUCCUAACUGGUUCACAACAUGACCAACCGAUCCUAAAUGGUUCAGACUGACCUGAACUAACGGGUUCAGAGACUAACCUGACCUUACUGAACUACUAACUGGUUCACAGACUAACCUGACCUAGCUGAACUACUAACUGGUUCACAAAAAUAACCUGACCUAGUAACUAACCUAACUGAACUACUAUCUGGUUCACACAAAUUCACAAACUGACCUAACUAAACUACUCACUGGUUCACAACAUGAUCAUACGAUCCCAACUGGUUCAGACUGACCUGACCUAACUGAACUAACUGGUUCAUACUGAGCUUGACCAAACUGAACUACUAGCUGGUUCACAGACUGAGCCUGACCUAACUGGUUUACAUACUGAGCCUGACCUAACUGGAAUCAGUGAGGAAGAAUGUGUUUGUGUUUGCAGAAUGUAACAUACCAGAAAUACGAUUCACAAAGUUGUACGGCCAACAAUAACGCAUAGAAGACAAGGAUUUGAAAAGAAGAGAAAAAAUAACGUCCGUUUGUAUGAAAGCCCUCUAACAUGGCCAAUCUGACGGCUACACUUGGAGCGCCUAGCUACGACCCAACGGAGAACGAGGACCGCGAGAACAUCCCUCCUCCUGCCGACUCCGCCCCCAGGCCGUCGAGGGAGCCCAAUCAGAACGUUCCUGAUGAGCGUGUAGUCCCGCUUUACAGAGAAGUCGUGGACAAAUGGCACAACACCAUGAAGAACCUUGGCCAGAGUCCUCUCAGUUCGCCAGACAUAGGGGACGAGGCGCUCCCUGAGCUCAGCAUGCUGGACACCACGGCGGAGACCUCUCACCUGUCUCUCGCCAAAACGAGGAGUCCUGCUGCUGCUUCCCUCUCGUCCACGCCCAGAUACUCCAGAGAGAUGGACAAAUGGCACAACACCAUGGCGAACCACGGCCAGAGUCCUCUCGGGUCGCCAGACAUAGGGGACGAGAUGCUCCCUGAGCUCAGCAUGCUGGACACCACGGCGGAGACCUCCCACUUGUCUCUCGCCAAAACGAGGAGUCCUGCUGCUGCUUCCCACUCGUCCACGCCCAGAUACUCCAGAGAGAUGGAAUCCGGCCUUACGCCCGGUUUCAAAAGCUUUAACCUGCCGGGCAACAACUCCAGGAAGGGCCUGACACCCGGCCCGGCCAGGCAUGGGCUGACGGCUAUUCACAACAUGCCGCACCUUAACCAGGAGUUGUUCACCACAGAGUAUCACAAACUGAGGGAGAGCCUGGGUCGGCUUCCCGCCGGACCGGACAGCUUGGCUCCGGCCGGGUGGCCUUGCUUCUGGCUGCAGGACGAGACCCUCCCAGAGGUCAGCUUGAUGGACUCCACCAUGGAGUGUUCUAACCUCUCCACCAAUGGGGCCGCUCCCUCCUUCGUGCCCCCGGUUCCUGAACGGCACCUUGCUGUGACGCCUAAAGUGGAGGAGGAGCCCAGCCCAGGCUCCAUGUUGAGUCUGGUCACGGAUAAGAGUUUAGUUCUCACUCCUCGCCUCCUAGCCUCCACAGGGCAGCAGAGCCUCGGAGAAAGUCGCUUAAUGGACCACAGCAGUCUCCACACACUGGAGAUGACGAAAGCUGAGGUUGUCCAGAACUCAGUGGAAAGCUCUUCCUGUCCUGAAUCCGAUGUCACCCGCGAAUCCAUCCUUCCCCAUGGGGUAGUGGUUCUGGGAGCUGAGGUUGUCCAGAGCUCACUGGAAACAUCCUCCAUCCCCGAAUCUGAUGUAACCUGUGAAUCCAUCCUUCCCCAUGGGGAAAUGGCUCUGGGUUCUCCAUCGCUGUGCUCCGCUUCUGCUUCCCAAUUCCCUGACAGGACAACUCUGGUCCUAGCAUUGGACCACCCGAGGCAGCCCGAGCUCAACACCACCCAGGUCCUCAACACCACCCAGGUCCUCAACACCACCCAGGUCCUCAACACCACCCAGGUCCUCAACACCACCCAGGUGCUCAGCGAGAAUGCGGUGGAGGUGGCAAGCAAUGACAGCAAUGGGUCCGCCCCGCGCUCUGGGAACGACACCUACUUCAGUCCACCUAGUGACUCCUCGAUGAACAGCAAUGUCACUAUGGAGGCCAUCGACUCCUCAGGGGUCAAGUGCCACCUAAGUUUGCCGCUCAACAAGCAGCUGUCGGACCCGUUUCCAUUAGACCCAGUGCAGUGGUCUCACUGGGCGAUGCCUGCUCAGGUGUCAAACUCGAGGACACCUUUAAGAGCAUCUCUUCUCCAACCCUAGGUCCCCAAGGAUGUAGUCAAGACAACCAGAGCGUCGGCCAAGACAACCAGAGCGUCGGCCAAGACAACCAGAGCGUCGGCCAAGACAACCAGAGCGUCGGCCAAGACAACCAGAGCGUCGGCCAAGACAACCAGAGCGUCGGCCAAGACAACCAGAGCGUCGGCCAAGACAACCAGAGUGGUAGGCAAGACAACCAGAGCGUCUACCAAGACAACCUGAGCGGAAGUCACUUUGAAGCCCAACCCAGAGCGUUAUCAACUGCCCCUCACAAUGGGUCCAAUAAUAACCUGGUUGUGGCGCUGGACCUGCGGUCCGAGGUCAACACCACCCAUGGGUCCAGCGGGUCAACGGCCGACAGGGCGAGCAGCACCAUGACCUUCUCCUCACAGGACGCCUCCAGACCUCUGUCCCCAGCACCCAGCGCCACAAAGAGUGACGAGAAUUCACUGAGAUGCCACACGCUGGCAUGCACACCUGUUUAUAAAUGCAGUGCCGACCUCAACUUUGAUGACACAUUCGAGAGAGCUUCUCCUCCCAAGGCAAGUGCCCUGAACUGUCAAGCCAAUCAGACAGCUGGAUGUUUGGUCACCUCCACGCCCAUGUCGGACUGGAAAGUCUAUGUGCCCACGAGCCAGACCUCACAGGUGCAGAAGAGGCGGUACUCUGACGGUCCAUCUAAGCCCCUCCCACAGACAAGCAGCCCUGCCGCCAGUGCGGACCAUGUGGCCGCCAGUGCGGACCAUGUGGCCGCCAGUGCGGACCAUGUGGCCGCCAGUGCGGACCAUGUGGCCGCCCCGGAUGUUCGCUCGCUCCUGCCAAACCUGGGUCCUGCCCGAGCCAUACCCCGCAGUCUCCGGUACAAUUCCGCCCCUGGUGGCACGGGGCGGCGCCUCAGCCCCCCCCCUACAGGGAGGAGAGUGUCAGCCAUGGCUCCGCCCCUUAAACAGAGCAAACCAAAGAACAGCAUACCAGACACCACCAGCACAACCAGUAUACCCAGCACCACUGAUAUAUCGAACACCACCAGCCUCUGCCGUGCACCACCAGGUGAGUGAGGUGAUUGAGUGAGUUAGUGUCUCUCUCGGUCUAUACAUACGUGCUGAUGUUAUGUUGCUAACUACCCUUCCCACAGGCCUCAAACCGCCAAGGAGAGUCCUCCAUAAACCGGCUGCAACGGGCAUCCCAGCGACCAAUCGGAGGACUCUACCAGGUCUCAGACCGCCUACUGCACGACUUGCCACUGCAGCCUUGUCCAAUGAUAAGCCUGGUCCAUCCUCAGACAGUCGCCGUGAGUCGCUGAGCCAGGCCAAGAGGAGCUUGCUGCCCGGGAGUGAAGCUCAGGGGCUGGCCAAGAGACGGAGGACAGGUGUUCCAGGACCUUCUACCACCAUGGAGGCCUCCGUUCUGUCUCUGGAGCCCACCAGGGGGGCCUGUGGCCUGAGGGCUCCUCCCCCAAGAACCUGCAAGACCCCAGCACUGGCUGGGUGUUCAAACUGUGCCCUGCUGAACAAGGAGCUGGAGAAGAAUCGUGCGGUGAUAAGAGGACUGCAGAAAGUACUGGAUGGCUUCGUCACCCCAGCAUCAUAACCAGGACCCAUUGGCAGAGACGACAGCGGCACAACAUUGAAAAUAUGUAAAUUAAUACAAAUAAAUAUGUGAAGGAAAUAAAAAUAACAAC
ensembl:lncRNA